rnacentral:rRNA from 1 species
UGCCUCAGUAACGGCGAGUGAAGCGGCAAAAGCUCAGAUUUGAAAUCUGGCGUCAUCUUGGCGUCCGAGUUGUAAUCUGUAGAGGAGUAUUCGAGUGUGGCGUUGGCUUAAGUUCCUUGGAACAGGACGUCAUAGAGGGUGAGAACCCCGUUAACGGCCUUUGUCUUAUGCUCAUGUGAAUCUCCUUCAACGAGUCGAGUUGUUUGGGAAUGCAGCUCUAAAUGGGUGGUAAAUUCCAUCUAAAGCUAAAUACUGGCAAGAGACCGAUAGCGCACAAGUAGAGUGAUCGAAAGAUGAAAAGAACUCUGAACAGAGAGUUAAAUAGUACGUGAAAUUGUUGAAAGGGAAGCACUUGCUACCAGACACGCCUGUAGUUGAUCAGCCUUCAUUCUUGAUGGUGCACUCGGCUAUAUGGUGGGUCAGCAUCAGUUGUGGCGGUGGGAUAAAGACCUGGGGAAUGUGGCUUCUCUCGGGAAGUGUUAUAGCCCUGGGUGCAAUACCGCCUGCUGCGACUGAGGACCGCGCCCGCAAGGGUGAGGAUGCUGGCAUAAUGGUCGUAAGUGACCCGUCUUGAAACACGGACCAAGGAGUCUAACAUCUAUGCGAGUGUUUGGGUGUCAAAACCCUUACGCGGAAUGAAAGUGAAUGUAGGUGGGAACCGCAAGGUGCACCAUCGACCGAUCCUGAUGUCUUCGGAUGGAUUUGAGUAGGAGCAUAGCUGUUGGGACCCGAAAGAUGGUGAACUAUGCCUGAAUAGGGUGAAGCCAGAGGAAACUCUGGUGGAGGCUCGCAGCGGGUUCUGACGUGCAAAUCGAUCG